rnacentral:lncRNA from 1 species
GUAUGCAAAUAUUAUACUAGAACGAAUAUCAAAAUGAAUUGCAGUGAUUUAUUAGAAGAAGUCUUCUUUGAAGUCUCUCUUUGAAGCUCUGUUGCAGCCGUUGUCCAAUGUGCUUGAGCCGGCUACGUCAGCGCUGACUAAGUGGAAGUCGAACCUCAACAAGAUCGAAAUUUGUAGCGUCUGCCAGUGCUUUUUAGCGGUUUUUAUUUGAAAUAUGUAUUUUUCAAGGCCCAAUCCUUGUUCCCUUCAUGUUUUAUUUUUGUUUACAAUAUUGUCCUGCGUCGGAAUAUUAAAAAUUCCAUUUUUUCAGGUGCUGUUCAGCUAUGCGUUUGAAUCAACUUUUCUGGUCCAUGCUCUGGGCCAUUUUUUGUGUGUGUCAUCUGCUAGACCGGCAGCUGCGUCCAUUGGGACGGGCCGCCGAUGACGUCUAAUUUUUUCCCGAACUCGUUUGCUUACUCACACACGGAAUUAUGUCAGGAAUGCUGGUCGGACGAGGCUGUCGGAACGGUGGUUGUCUGCUGCGUUAAAAUUCGGUUGAUUAAUUUUGAUUUCGGGGGAAUGCAUAGCAAAAGCCGGUUAGCAUUUCGGGGGCAUGAGGAUUGGGGCGCGUGCCAAACUCUUCGUUUGUUGAUGCUCUUCUGGCUGAUUCCAAACUCCUUUCACAUUCGUAGAGGUAACUACACUCCAACAGUUAGUUAGUCGUGGCCCUUUGGCGGUUGCCCCAGUCUGAAAAAAGAUCAGGUGAUUGCAAUUGG